CCGGGCGGGAGAAGGGUUUGUGCCGUUGUGCUCUGGGCAUGCGCAGAUCGCGGCGGGAGAGACCUUCAUUAACCCCCCCGUGCCCGGCCCGGCCCCGCCCCGCCCCCGCUGCGGAGCUGCAGCCUCCAGGUAUGUGACUGGGAUCAGGGCUCUUAUCGCACUGAGCGUGGCCCUGUUCUGCCAGGCGCUGCAGAGAUCCCAACUGAGAUCUGGGCCCUGUUCUGCCAGGCGCUGCAGAGACCCCAGGAUACAGACUAACGUCCACGUUUGAUCCAGAUCAUCCCAUCCUCCCAGGGGGCAGGAAAUGGCUGCAGUGGAGCUGGCUCAGGUGCUGUCAAACAACGAUUUCUUUAAACCUCUUAAGAUCUAUGGGAAUCGUCCUCCAAAUGCAAUUCUGAUGCAGAGUUGGCAAUUUGACCGAGAUAGCGUGUGAAAAGAGAUAUAUAUGAGAAAUUCAUUCCAAAUGACAGGACUAGGCCAUCGAAGGGGAGGUUCUGGAUUGAUUGUUGAGCCUCUGUUGACAGCCAGAAAGACAGCCUCAUUGACACGGGCAUUGCGAUGGACCUGGUCGCUGUGUCCACUGCGUUGGAGGUGGCCUAAAGGGAGGCCCUUGCCACAUUUCCCCCCUUCAUCUAAAAUGGCCAGGAACUCGUGCCUGGAAUCCUCCGGCAGCAAGUCUGCAAACUUGGUCACAGACUGCCACCCACUGAAAUCAUACCUCCUGAGUAAGCCUAAUGGUUUUCCACUCAAUAGUUGGAGGCUGGCAGAUGAAUAAACUUUUCUGCCAAAUAAAUCUAGUCUCUUUCCAUCUUUGGCCUGGUCUACACUACAGGGUUAGGUCGAAUUUAGCUGCGUUAGGUCGAUUUAAAAUUGAAUGUGUCCACACAACCAACCCCGUUCUGUCAACCUAAAGGGCUCUUAAAAUCGACUUCUGUACUCCUUCCCAGCGAGGGGAGUAGAACUAAA